rnacentral:rRNA from 1 species
UACAGAGGUCUCAAGCGUUGUUCGGAUUUACUGGGCGUAAAGGGCGCGUAGGCGGCAUGACAAGUCACUUGUGAAAUCUCCGGGCUUAACUCGGAACGGCCAAGUGAUACUGUCAAGCUAGAGUGCAGAAAGGGCAAUCGGAAUUCUUGGUGUAGCGGUGAAAUGCGUAGAUAUCAAGAGGAACACCUGAGGCGAAGGCGGGUUGCUAGGCUGACACUGACGCUGAAGCGCGAAAGCCAGGGGAGCAAACGGG